AAAAUCUGCUGAGAUUAGAAAGAGAAAAAGGGCAAAGGAAAGCUAUGGUGACUCUCGAAAGAUGGUUCAAGUCCUUGUUGGAGCUUUUCAAAGCGCUGCAGGUAUAAAUUCACCUCACACUUCCUUGGCAGGGGAGAAUCAGACCAUUGAGUGGGCUAUACGACUAACAGUUGCUCUGAACAUUGCCAAAGCAUUAGAUCACUGCAGCAGCGAAGGCCGCCCAUUGUACCAUGACUUAAAUGCAUAUAUGGUUCUCUUUGAUGAGAGUUGGCUUCAUUUCAGUCCAGUCUCUAAAUAGGUCCAAUAACUCACUAAAUAGCCACCCCACAUAAUGAGCAGCUGAGUUAUGCAUCUCCAAGCAAGAAAAGGCUGGAUGCUAUUAGUGAUUCUGCCAAAGAAUCAAAACAAUGUGGUAGGUAUUUACAUUUCCAUGUAUAGGAUUUUGUGGAUUUUAUG